rnacentral:lncRNA from 10 species
GAAUGUGGGAGUAAUGUUGGGAAGCAGGUUUCUCUCCAGGCUCCGGGGCCUGGAGUUGGAGGCUAAUGUCUGGAGCUGUGCAGAGGUAGGGAGACACGGGGCUCUGGGGGCCAAAGGGCAUGAUGCCGAGGGCCUGGUGUGCUCCGCCUGGCCUAAGCCUACCGAGGAGGAGCCCAUGUGGGUCCAAACAGUGAUCUAGCUUCUGAGUAGAGAAGGCUUAAAAUAGUGGUAAUCAUUCCAGCAGCUGCCGUUUGCUGAGCGCUUGCUGUGAGCAGGCACCCUGCCAAGAGCUCUUCAUGUGUGACCUCAUGUCCACCUCUCUCCCUGGGAGCCAACGGCUCUUGAGGACACUUGGUUAUGGCGUCCCCCCUGGAACACUGGGCCUCAAGCAGCACAACUAACGCUCAUGGGACACUCACCGUGUGCCAAGCCCUUGCAUGCACUUCACCUCGUUGAAUCCGUACAGCCGUAUUUUGGGGAUCUUCAAGUGACCUUGAAAUGGCUGUGGCUGCUCCUUUAGAGGACUCCAUCCUGACCCUCUUCUAGCCAUGCCUCUCCCUGUGGGGAAGGAGUCUACAGGGCCAAGGAGACGUGACUCUGUGAAGCCCAUGGCUCCCUUCUAAAACAUUCUCUGGAUAUUCUCUGCAGUCUUGAACUCCUGGGCUCAAGUGAUCUUCCCGCCUCAGCCUCUGGAGUAGCUAGGACUACAGGUGUGUACCACCACAGCCAGCCCUUCCUUCGGUUUGCACUUUCCUCUUCCAACUUAUGCUCAUUUCCCCCGACCCAGGCCUCUCCCUUUAAGAUCAAAUAUAAUAAUUCCUGGAAUUCCCCACCUGAAAGGCUCCUAGCCUGUUCCAAACUUUUCCGGGCUUCUUUCCCAGAUCUAUCCUCCCAAAGACUGAGGUCACAGCCAGUAUGGCUAGUCUGUGCACCCCUAGGCUUAAGAAAUAGCAAAGGGGUGGCUGUGAGUGGGGCAUGUGGAUGGAGCUUGGGCCUGUGGGUUGGGCUGGGGGCAAGUAGAGUGGGAGAUGGGAGGAUAAGUCCAUGAGUCCAGGACUAAGCAUCUGGGAGCUGGCAUUCUCUGGAAGAGUGAGAAUUCUAAAUUUGAAAGCAGCCUUCUAAGUCAUUG